UACGUAGGGCGCAAGCGUUGUCCGGAAUUAUUGGGCGUAAAGAGCUCGUAGGCGGUCUGUUACGUCCGCUGUGAAAACCCAGGGCUUAACCCUGGGUUUGCAGUGGAUACGGGCAGACUAGAGGUAGGUAGGGGAGAAUGGAAUUCCCGGUGUAGCGGUGAAAUGCGCAGAUAUCGGGAGGAACACCGGUGGCGAAGGCGGUUCUCUGGGCCUUACCUGACGCUGAGGAGCGAAAGCGUGGGGAGCGAACAGG
rnacentral:rRNA from 1 species